AGUGAACGCUGGCGGUAGGCCUAACACAUGCAAGUCGAACGGCAGCACAGUAAGAGCUUGCUCUUACGGGUGGCGAGUGGCGGACGGGUGAGGAAUACAUCGGAAUCUACUUUUUCGUGGGGGAUAACGUAGGGAAACUUACGCUAAUACCGCAUACGACCUACGGGUGAAAGCAGGGGAUCCUCGGACCUUGCGCGAUUGAAUGAGCCGAUGUCGGAUUAGCUAGUUGGCGGGGUAAAGGCCCACCAAGGCGACGAUCCGUAGCUGGUCUGAGAGGAUGAUCAGCCACACUGGAACUGAGACACGGUCCAGACUCCUACGGGAGGCAGCAGUGGGGAAUAUUGGACAAUGGGCGCAAGCCUGAUCCAGCCAUACCGCGUGGGUGAAGAAGGCCUUCGGGUUGUAAAACCCUUUUGUUGGGAAAGAAAAGCAGCAGGUUAAUACCCCGCUGUUCUGACGGUACCCAAAGAAUAAGCACCGGCUAACUUCGUG
rnacentral:rRNA from 1 species